rnacentral:rRNA from 1 species
UUCCGGUUGAUCCUGCCGGACCCGACUGCUAUUUGGGUGAGGAUAAGCCAUGCGAGUUGAAUGGGAUACCUAAAGUUCCCAUAGCAAACUGCUCAGUAACACAUGAUCAACUUACCCUAUAGAGAAAAAUAACCUCGGGAAACUGAGGAUAAUGUUUCAUAGUUGAAUUGGCUUGGAAAAGUUUUUCGACGAAAGGGGUAAAAAAAAUGGUUUUUAUCUGCUAUAGGAUAGGAUCGUGUUCGAUUAUGGUUGUUGGUGAGGUAAUGGCUCACCAAGCCGAUAAUCGAUAGGGGCCGUGAGAGCGGGAGCCCCGAGAUGGGUACUGAGACAACGACCCAGGCCUUACGAGGCGCAGCAGGCGCGAAACCUCCGCAAUACACGAAAGUGUGACGGGGUUACCCAAAGUGUUCAAUUUUGAACUGUGGUAGGUGAGUAAUGUUCCCUACUAGAAAGGAGAGGGCAAGGCUGGUGCCAGCCGCCGCGGUAAAACCAGCUCUUCAAGUGGUCGGGAUAAUUAUUGGGCUUAAAGUGUCCGUAGCCGGUUUAGUAAGUUCCUGGUAAAAUCGGGUAGCUUAACUAUCUAUAUGCUAGGAAUACUACUAUACUAGAGGGCGGGAGAGGUCUGAGGUACUACAGGGGUAGGGGUGAAAUCUUAUAAUCCUUGUUGGACCACCAGUGGCGAAGGCGUCAGACUGGAACGCGCCUGACGGUGAGGGACGAAAGCCAGGGGAGCGAACCGGAUUAGAUACCCGGGUAGUCCUGGCCGUAAACGAUGCAUACUAGGUGAUGGCACGGCCAUGAGCCGUGUCAGUGCCGUAGGGAAACCGUUAAGUGUGCCGCCUGGGAAGUACGGUCGCAAGGCUAAAACUUAAAGGAAUUGGCGGGGGAGCAC